AGAGUUCGAUCCUGGCUCAGGAUGAACGCUGGCGGCGCGCCUAACACAUGCAAGUCGAACGGCACCUAUCUUCGGAUAGAAGCGAGUGGCGAACGGCUGAGUAACACGUGGAGAACCUGCCCCCUCCCCCGGGAUAGCCGCCCGAAAGGACGGGUAAUACCGGAUACCCCGGGGUGCCGCAUGGCACCCCGGCUAAAGCCCCGACGGGAGGGGAUGGCUCCGCGGCCCAUCAGGUAGACGGCGGGGUGACGGCCCACCGUGCCGACAACGGGUAGCCGGGUUGAGAGACCGACCGGCCAGAUUGGGACUGAGACACGGCCCAGACUCCUACGGGAGGCAGCAGUGGGGAAUCUUGCGCAAUGGGGGGAACCCUGACGCAGCGACGCCGCGUGCGGGACGGAGGCCUUCGGGUCGUAAACCGCUUUCAGCAGGGAAGAGUCAAGACUGUACCUGCAGAAGAAGCCCCGGCUAACUACGUGCCAGCAGCCGCGGUAAUACGUAGGGGGCGAGCGUUAUCCGGAUUCAUUGGGCGUAAAGCGCGCGUAGGCGGCCCGGCAGGCCGGGGGUCGAAGCGGGGGGCUCAACCCCCCGAAGCCCCCGGAACCUCCGCGGCUUGGGUCCGGUAGGGGAGGGUGGAACACCCGGUGUAGCGGUGGAAUGCGCAGAUAUCGGGUGGAACACCGGUGGCGAAGGCGGCCCUCUGGGCCGAGACCGACGCUGAGGCGCGAAAGCUGGGGGAGCGAACAGGAUUAGAUACCCUGGUAGUCCCAGCCGUAAACGAUGGACGCUAGGUGUGGGGGGACGAUCCCCCCG
rnacentral:rRNA from 1 species